rnacentral:rRNA from 1 species
GGGUGGUAAUGCCGGAUGCUCCAGCUGAUUGCAUGGUGUUUUGGGAAAGCCUUUGCGGCAUGGGAUGGGGUCGCGUCCUAUCAGCUUGAUGGCGGGGUAACGGCCCACCAUGGCUUCGACGGGUAGCCGGCCUGAGAGGGCGACCGGCCACAUUGGGACUGAGAUACGGCCCAGACUCCUACGGGAGGCAGCAGUGGGGAAUAUUGCACAAUGGGCGCAAGCCUGAUGCAGCGACGCCGCGUGAGGGAUGGAGGCCUUCGGGUUGUAAACCUCUUUUGUUAGGGAGCAAGGCAUUUUGUGUUGAGUGUACCUUUCGAAUAAGCACCGGCUAACUACGUGCCAGCAGCCGCGGUAAUACGUAGGGUGCAAGCGUUAUCCGGAAUUAUUGGGCGUAAAGGGCUCGUAGGCGGUUCGUCGCGUCCGGUGUGAAAGUCCAUCGCUUAACGGUGGAUCCGCGCCGGGUACGGGCGGGCUUGAGUGCGGUAGGGGAGACUGGAAUUCCCGGUGUAACGGUGGAAUGUGUAGAUAUC